AUUGAACGCUGGCGGCAGGCUUAACACAUGCAAGUCGAGCGGAGUGAUGGUGCUUGCACUAUCACUUAGCGGCGGACGGGUGAGUAAUGCUUAGGAAUCUGCCUAUUAGUGGGGGACAACAUCUCGAAAGGGAUGCUAAUACCGCAUACGUACUACGGGAGAAAGCAGGGGAUCACUUGUGACCUUGCGCUAAUAGAUGAGCCUAAGUCGGAUUAGCUAGUUGGUGGGGUAAAGGCCUACCAAGGCGACGAUCUGUAGCGGGUCUGAGAGGAUAAUCCGCCAAACUGGGACUGAGACACGGCCCAGACUCCUACGGGAGGCAGCAGUGGAGGAGAUUGGACAAUGGGGGGAACCCUGAUCCAGCCAUGCCGCGUGUGUGAAGAAGGCCUUAUGGUUGUAAAGCACUUUAAGCGAGGAGGAGGCUCUUUUGGUUAAUACCCAAGAUGAGUGGACGUUACUCGCAGAAUAAGCACCGGCUAACUCUGUGCCAGCAGCCGCGGUAACAC
rnacentral:rRNA from 1 species